UGUUUAUUACUUAUAUCAUGAGGAUAUUGCUUAACACCGGCAAUUUGAAUAUUUAUUUUUUCCGUGAAUACAAGCACCUUUUGGACAACUGUAAACAAUACUAAGACUAAUACCGCUAAUGAAGAUUAUUUAGCUGAGUCAACACAGAAAGUUAUUGGGAUCAUUAUCUGUUUCUUUUCGGUUAUUGGUGUAGCUGUUAGCAUUACAGUGCUGAAAAUAGUUCUUACAAAAAUACACCAUCUCAAUUCAUCGACUGUGUUCAUUCCAGUAUUAGCAAUUGUUGGCUUUAUUGUAUCUGCAUUUUUAAUGCCUUUACAUGCUGCAACAGCAUUUGACAGGAGUUUUAUCUUUGACGAAAACGUAUGCAUGUUUUAUGGAUUUACCUUUACCUCGAUAGGAUUGUUAUACAUUACCCUUUUAACCACAAUGAUAGUCCAAUUAUACAGAGUGAUUGUGUCUGCUCAUUCAAUCGAAGUUGGAUUAGACAAAAAGUCUUUUAUUUUAGUAUUAGGAGGAUGCAUGUUGCUUUGUGGAAUUGCUUCAGCUUUUCCGCUAUUUGGAAUAGCUGCGUAUAAACCUUACCGAAGACCUUCGCUAUGCCAUAUGAGAUGGAUACCUUGUAACCAAAUUGAUAUAGUUUAUUAUAUAAGUCUUCUGAUACUAUUCUAUGUGAUCCCAACCGUCUUGAUUUCAGUCUCAUACACUGUUAUCUAUUUCAAGACCAAGGAUUCCUCUUCCAGAUCUUUUACUUCAACAAGAAAUAGACAUCGUCAACUGUUUAUGUUAAAGACUUUCAUUAUUAUAACAGGGGCCUUUAUAUUUACUUGGUUUCCGUAUGUGGUAUGUCUUAUCAUGGAUUUAGCUGGAGUUGACUACCAUUCAUAUUCUCAUAACAUCUAUCUUUUCUGUUCGAUGGUAGCAAAAGUUUCUCUCACUUGGAUCCCGGCGAUAUUUAUAAUCCGUCACAGCUAUUACAGAAAUGACUUGGACAUAAUGGCUAAUGAAAUGAUUGAAAAAGUUGAAAAGCUAACAAUGUCAUCAGGAGAGUACAAUUUAGACAGUGUAGGCAUGUCUGUUGAAGGAAAAGCUACGGGCGAAAUUGAAUUUGUAGUAGACGAUAAUGAUAGGAUUGAUUCAAUACCUUCGCAUCUGGUUCUCCUAUCUUAUAACAGAAUAACAGAGAGUGACAUGUAAAGGAUUAUAAGUAUGUCACGACUAUUGGACAAUCAAACUAUUUUAAAUUAACAUAAAUGAUUAGUGUUGAAGCAAUUAAUUUGAUACAAAUUGUUGUUUCCGACUUUCGUUUUCAGUUU